GUUGAAACACUGAUUCACGUACGAUCAGCAUAGUUAAGUAUUGUUGAGCCUGGUGAGUACUUAGAUGGGUGACUGCUUUGGAAUACCAGGUGCUGUA